UGCCAGUCGAACGGAAACAUGUCUAGCUUGCUAGAUGAUGUCGAGUGGCGGACGGGUGAGUAAUGCUUGGGAACUUGCCUUUGCGAGGGGGAUAACAGUUGGAAACGACUGCUAAUACCGCAUAAUGUCUNCGGACCAAACAGGGCUUCGGCUCUGGCGCAAAGAGAGGCCCAAGUGAGAUUAGCUAGUUGGUGAGGUAAAGGCUCACCAAGGCAACGAUCUCUAGCUGUUCUGAGAGGAAGAUCAGCCACACUGGGACUGAGACACGGCCCAGACUCCUACGGGAGGCAGCAGUGGGGAAUAUUGCACAAUGGGGGAAACCCUGAUGCAGCCAUGCCGCGUGUGUGAAGAAGGCCUUCGGGUUGUAAAGCACUUUCAGUUGUGAGGAAAAGUUAGUAGUUAAUACCUGCUAGCCGUGACGUUAACAACAGAAGAAGCACCGGCUAACUCCGUGCCAGCAGCCGCGGUAAUACGGAGGGUGCGAGCGUUAAUCGGAAUUACUGGGCGUAAAGCGCACGCAGGCGGUUUGUUAAGCUAGAUGUGAAAGCCCCGGGCUCAACCUGGGACGGUCAUUUAGAACUGGCAGACUAGAGUCUUGGAGAGGGGAGUGGAAUUCCAGGUGUAGCGGUGAAAUGCGUAGAUAUCUGGAGGAACAUCAGUGGCGAAGGCGACUCCCUGGCCAAAGACUGACGCUCAUGUGCGAAAGUGUGGGUAGCGAACAGGAUUAGAUACCCUGGUAGUCCACACCGUAAACGCUGUCUACUAGCUGUUUGUGACUUUAAGUCGUGAGUAGCGAAGCUAACGCGAUAAGUAGACCGCCUGGGGAGUACGGCCGCAAGGUUAAAACUCAAAUGAAUUGACGGGGGCCCGCACAAGCGGUGGAGCAUGUGGUUUAAUUCGAUGCAACGCGAAGAACCUUACCUACACUUGACAUGUUGAGAAGUACCAGAGAUGGUUUCGUGCCUUCGGA
rnacentral:rRNA from 1 species